CACAAAUAUCACUCAUUCGCCCCGUCAGCAGCAGCUCUGUCCUUGCCAAUUAAGUGCGGAAUUUCGGUUUAUUUUUCUUGUGCACAACUGCAUGGCACAGCACAAAUUAAUUUAAAUAUUUAAAGAGUUUAAUUAUUUUUUAACUGCCCAACAAGGACGGUCGCAGACAGGGUGGGCAAAAUGGAGUAGAAGGAGCAGCAGGAGAGGAGCAGGAGCAGCAGGAGCAGCAGGAGGCCAAGUGCCAUGAUCCGGGACCAUAACUGCAUGGCAACCUGCGAGGACGACGACAACGGGCAAACAGCCAAGCGUAAACUUAACUGACAAGUGGAGACUUAACUUCCCAUAACAAAUUGCAUUCCAAUUGCAUGUCGGGAACGCACACAUCCCCCAGCACCACAAAUCCUCCAACCCCCAGCUGCCCACCUUCUGGAUGCCGUGGGGCAUAAACAAACACACACGGAGUCGCAUUCACUCACUGUUCUCCUCUGCUCCUCCUGGCAGGACUUGGUCGUCGUCAUUGCUGUUAAUUUAAAUUGCUUUAAAAAAAAGCAGGUGCACAGCACAGUGAAUGGGCGAAAUGAGAACAGAAACGAGUUCCAUUCAGGGCAAAUGGCAACAGGAGCAGCUCCUGGCCACGACUUUCCUCCUGGAAGCAGCGAGCACAGCCUCUCCAGUUGCCAGCCCUGAGAUGCCAUGCACGAAAUAAUCCUAAAGGGUGUGAAAAGUAUGAAUGCAGCCAAGAAUGUGCACACCAGAUGGGUGUGGAGUUGGUGGCUGGAUGGAUGGACUGGUGGGCUGUACGGGCUGUAUGCCUGGUGGAGUUCGCCUGUGGGAGACGCGAGAAAUGAGCUAGCUCGCUGUGAAAGGAAAACAAAAUUAUGCAACUUGAAAAUGGGCGACAGACAGACGUGGAUGCCUACGCCGAACCACACACAAUCCUUGCUCCUUGGCUGCUCCUCAGUUCCUCAGCCAACUCAGGUGCAGCGUUCUGUUUUUGUUGCGCGAUUGGAGGCGUCUCCGGAUACCAGUUCCACCCACCCAACAUCCUCACAUGGCUGCCUCCUCUGUGGCUUGGAGCUAGAGCGUCUCGACGAAUGUUCUGGAAGAAAAAAUAUUUUGAAGUGCAAAACAUAUUCUUAAGAAUAAGGAACAGUAGACGAAAGAGUUGGAUUUAAAGCAGCUGAGUUGAGCAGAAACUAG
ensembl:ncRNA lncRNA:CR45318 long non-coding RNA:CR45318